UACAGAGGUCUCAAGCGUUGUUCGGAUUCAUUGGGCGUAAAGGGUGUGUAGGUGGCGCCGUAAGUCGGGUGUGAAAUUUCGGAGCUUAACUCCGAAACUGCAUUCGAUACUGCGGUGCUUGAGGACUGGAGAGGAGACUGGAAUUCAUGGUGUAGCAGUGAAGUGCGUAGAUAUCAGGAGGAACACCGAUGGCGAAGGCAGGUCUCUGGGCUGACACUGACGCUCAUGCACGAAAGCGUGGGGAGCAAACAGG
rnacentral:rRNA from 1 species